rnacentral:rRNA from 1 species
CCCGCUGAACUUAAGCAUAUCAAUAAGCGGAGGAAAAGAAACUAACAAGGAUUCCCCUAGUAACUGCGAGUGAAGCGGGAAAAGCUCAAAUUUAAAAUCUGGUGGUCUUUGGCCAUCCGAGUUGUAAUUUAGAGAAGCGUCUUCCGCGCUGGACCGUGCACAAGUCUCCUGGAAUGGAGCGUCACAGAGGGUGAGAAUCCCGUCUUUGGCAUGGACACACCAGGGCUUUUGUGAUGCGCUCUCGAAGAGUCGAGUUGUUUGGGAAUGCAGCUCAAAAUGGGUGGUGAACUCCAUCUAAAGCUAAAUAUUGGCGAGAGACCGAUAGCGAACAAGUACCGUGAGGGAAAGAUGAAAAGCACUUUGGAAAGAGAGUGAAACAGUACGUGAAAUUGUUGAAAGGGAAACGCUUGAAGUCAGUCGCGUCGACCGAGACUCAGCCUCGCCUCGGCUUGGUGUACUUCUCGGCUGACGGGUCAGCAUCAAUUUCGCCUCUUGGAUAAUGGCGGGGGAAAUGUGACACCUUUACGGUGUGUUAUAGUCUCUCGUCGCAUGCAAGGGUCGGGAUUGAGGAAUUCAGCACGCCACCAGGCCGGGUUUUGACCACGUUCGUGCUUAGGAUGCUGGCAUAAUGGCUUUAAUUGACCCGUCUUGAAACACGG